UUGCAUUUUUUAUGUGCUAGGGUUUCUGCAUCUUCCACCUCCGUGGCAAUGAAAUCAGGCUUCAUCUGAUUCUGAUUCCCUUUCGCUCCUUCUCCUCCUUAACCUUCAUCUUCCACCUCGUGUGUGUGAUGGAUGACUUAAUUGCGUGACGAAGUCCCUUUCUAAAUUCAGAGAGAACUCGGUGAAAUCACCGAAAUAAGUUGGAGUGAAACUCCGAACGCCAUUUGGGAGCAAGACAGAGUCCUUCAGUUCUUCGAUGACGCCGCUGAUGUUGAAGAGAGCGAUUUCAACGACGAUGAUGGUGAUUUUGAUUUUUCUAAUGACGAAUCAAAUGUCACACCAAGACAGAUGCACAUGCACAUGCGAGAUAAAGGCAAGAGUAGCCUCCUGUGUGUCAUCUGUAAAGAGGAAAUGGUGGAUGAAGAAUUUUGAAGGAGCACUACAAAGAUCCAUCAGGUUUAUCAAAUUGGUGAUGAUAAUGGGAUGGACCCAAGUUCUAUACAAAAAGGUGUCGGUGAAUUAAUGCCAUACAUUUGGAAAGUCAAAUGCACUGUUGGGCAGGAGAGGCUUUCAGCUCUUUGUUUGAUGCAAAAGUUUGUUGACUUGGAUUCAUUGUGUACUAAAUUAUAGAUAAAAUCUACAUUUGUUGUAGAUCAUAUGAAAAGAUUUGUGUACAUUGAAGUCGAAAAAUAGUAUGAUAUAAAUGAGGUAACCUCUGUACUAGGUAUUUUCAUUAAUGGUUCAAGGCUAAGCACAUUCCUUUAAUGGUUCAAGGCUCUCAUGAUUCAUGAUAUCAAAAUAUAUUAUGAAGCAGAAAAGAAAUUUGCGAGCUUUACUUGACGGCUUCUCGUACUUAAGAGGGCAGGUGCUAAAGAGUGCAAAUAAGGUAGCAUAAUAACAAUGGUGAAUUUUGUCUUGUACAAUUAUAACAGUGGUUAAUCAGUACUACUUUAAUCAACUGGUGAUAAUUUAUGUUUUUCAAUGUUGUUAUUUCUCAUUGUAGAUUAUCUACAAAUAAUUACAUGUGGAUGGCCAGGGUUGGUCUCUAUCCAUUUAGAGAUUUGUUAAUUUUCCCUGUUUAGAAACACUUAGCUCAUAACAUGGUCAUUACUAAUAAGGUGGAGCCAUGGUAUGGAACUGUAUAUU